rnacentral:lncRNA from 1 species
CCAUACAGACAAGGCAGUUCCUUGCAGAUCCUUUUGGAUUAACAAAUUAUUUCAAAAUGAUUCUGUCAGGUCCUUUUUUAUAAUGUAGAUUUCACAACAAUAUUGUGGCACCUUCAAGUAGACAACCACAGAUCUCCAUUGUCAGGGCCACGUAUAACNNNNNNNNNNNNNNNNNNNNACCAUCAUUGACUUGAUGGGUUUCUAAAAGUACUUACAUUCUGCAUAUUUUUACAAAAUUGAAGAAUGCUUGAGAUCUUUUCUUGUUGACAAAAUUGGAAUAGAAAGGGUGAAGAAUUCUGAUGAGAAGUCAACUUCAAUAUCAUGGCUCAUAAACAUAAAAUUCACCACAUGUGGUAUAGAACCAUAGAUCAUUUUUUUCCUCUCUGUAUGCUUCUUCUAUGUCUCAAAUUACAUAUCAAAUGCAAGUGCCAUACAGACAAGGCAGUUCCUUGCAGAUCCUUUUGGAUUAACAAAUUAUUUCAAAAUGAUUCUGUCAGGUCCUUUUUUAUAAUGUAGAUUUCACAACAAUAUUGUGGCACCUUCAAGUAGACAACCACAGAUCUCCAUUGUCAGGGCCACGUAUAACUAAUUUCUCAUCCUACCAUGACUUGGUGCCAUGGUCUAAAUUGGAGUGAGUAUCAUGUGCACUGACCAGUAUUUACCAGUCCAAGCUGGGCCCUUUAUGCAGGCUGCCUCAUACUGAAAGCAUACACCACAUGCCACUUCAGAGUUCAGACUGGGCAGAUCUUAGUGUUUUAGCAUUGGAGACCAGCCAAUACCAAAAUACAAUACCACCC